rnacentral:rRNA from 1 species
AUUGAACGCUGGCGGCAGGCCUAACACAUGCAAGUCGAACGAGUGGCGGACGGGUGAGUAAUGUCUGGGAAACUGCCUGAUGGAGGGGGAUAACUACUGGAAACGGUAGCUAAUACCGCAUACCAUCGGAUGUGCCCAGAUGGGAUUAGCUAGUAGGUGGGGAAAAGGCUCACCUAGGCGACGAUCCAUAGCUGGUCUGAGAGGAUGACCAUGCACACUGGAACUGAUACACGGUCCAGACUCCUACGGGAGGCAGCAGUGGGGAAUAUUGCACUAUGGGCGCAAGCCUGAUGCAGCCAGGCCGCGUGUAUGAAGAAGGCUUUCGGGUUGGAAAGGACGUUCAGCGGGGAGGCGUUACCCGCAGAAGAAGCACCGGCUAACUCCGUGCCAGCAGCCGCGGUAAUUC